GUACACAAAAAUGCACAUAUUGUGAGCUCGAUGAGUAGGGCGGGACACGUGGUAUCCUGUCUGAAUAUGGGGGGACCAUCCUCCAAGGCUAAAUACUCCUGACUGACCGAUAGUGAACCAGUACCGUGAGGGAAAGGCGAAAAGAACCCCGGCGAGGGGAGUGAAAAAGAACCUGAAACCGUGUACGUACAAGCAGUGGGAGCCUCUUUAUGGGGUGACUGCGUACCUUUUGUAUAAUGGGUCAGCGACUUAUAUUCUGUAGCAAGGUUAACCGAAUAGGGGAGCCGAAGGGAAACCGAGUCUUAACUGGGCGUUAAGUUGCAGGGUAUAGACCCGAAACCCGGUGAUCUAGCCAUGGGCAGGUUGAAGGUUGGGUAACACUAACUGGAGGACCGAACCGACUAAUGUUGAAAAAUUAGCGGAUGACUUGUGGCUGGGGGUGAAAGGCCAAUCAAACCGGGAGAUAGCUGGUUCUCCCCGAAAGCUAUUUAGGUAGCGCCUCGUGAAUUCAUCUCCGGGGGUAGAGCACUGUUUCGGCAAGGGGGUCAUCCCGACUUACCAACCCGAUGCAAACUGCGAAUACCGGAGAAUGUUAUCACGGGAGACACACGGCGGGUGCUAACGUCCGUCGUGAAGAGGGAAACAACCCAGACCGCCAGCUAAGGUCCCAAAGUCAUGGUUAAGUGGGAAACGAUGUGGGAAGGCCCAGACAGCCAGGAUGUUGGCUUAGAAGCAGCCAUCAUUUAAAGAAAGCGUAAUAGCUCACUGGUCGAGUCGGCCUGCGCGGAAGAUGUAACGGGGCUAAACCAUGCACCGAAGCUGCGGCAGCGACACUAUGUGUUGUUGGGUAGGGGAGCGUUCUGUAAGCCUGUGAAGGUGGCCUGUGAGGGUUGCUGGAGGUAUCAGAAGUGCGAAUGCUGACAUAAGUAACGAUAAAGCGGGU
rnacentral:rRNA from 1 species